UGGAAGGCCUUGAUGCAGGCGUCUGGGAUGUUCUCCUUCUUGUAGUUGAUCAGGGCGUCCAGGAAGGUGUCAACUUUGGCCAUCAUGUUCUUAGCAGCCUUCCAGCUCCUGUCUUUGGUGACCUUCCCUCCGGGGGCCAUUAAGACCAUAACAGCCCCCAUCACGUUCACCACUGCUUCCGGGGGAGAGCCAAAUGACUUUAACUCUGUCAGGUUGUUCUGCAGUCUUGUUGAGAGUAUUGAGAGCCUCCUGGGCAGCCAGUAAGGCUGGCUCUGCCUUGGCCAGGUCCGCUUCACAGGACCUCUGUUUUACUCCCACAUUCUCUGCAAUGACUUGCACUUUGAGCUCCUCGCUAUUGGCUAUUGCCUUCUCCUUGAACACUUUGUCCGUUUCAACACUAACCACCUUAAUGAGCUUGUCAGCUUCCCCGUUCUUCUGCUUGAGCUCCACCUCCUGCAUGGCCAGCUUGGCCUUUAGAUCAUCCACCUGGUGAAGGAAACAUUAAUGCAUCCAACAAACACAUCAAUGAUAAAAGGCGAAGGGAACUGUAAGACACUGCUGUUAAGGAGAACUUGUAAUUAGUCAACUUCACUGAAAACAUGUGUAUUAAGUAAUGUGUCUUGCUGGUGUACUGCAUCUGCUGGUGUACUGUAUCUGCUGGUGUAGUCUAUCUGCUGGGGUACUGCAUCUGCUGGUGUACUGCAUCUGCUGGUGUACUGUAUCUGCUGGGGUACUGCAUCUGCUGGUGUACUGUAUCUGCUGGUGUAGUCUAUCUGCUGGUGUAGUCUAUCUGCUGGUGUAGUCUAUCUGCUGGUGUAGUCUAUCUGCUGGUGUAGUCUAUCUGCUAGUGUAGUCUAUCUGCUAGUGUAGUCUAUCUGCUGGUGUAUUGUAUCUGCUGGUGUAUUGUAUCUGCUGGUGUACUGCAUCUACUGGUGUACUGCAUCGGCUGGUGUACUGCAUCGGCUGGUGUACUGCAUCGGCUGGUGUAGUCUAUCUGCUGGUGUACUGCAUCUGCUGGUGUACUGCAUCUGCUGUUGUACUGUAUCUGCUGGUGGACUGUAUCUGCUGGUGGACUGUAUCUGCUGGUGGACUGUAUCUGCUGGUGGACUGUAUCUGCUGGUGGACUGUAUCUGCUGGUGGACUGUAUCUGCUGGUGUGCUGCAUCUGCUGGUGUGCUGCAUCUGCUGGUGUACUGUAUCUGCUAGUGUACUGUAUCUGACCUGGGCGGAUGUGUUUUCUAAUUUGGUGAGUCCGUUCUCAAGGCGUUCCAUCUUGGACAGCAACUCGCUCCUUUUGACUGCAAGGAGGUUCUGGUAGAGUUUAAUCUGCUCCAGGAAGGUCUUGGGUGUGGUAUAGUUGUAGCGGCGGUCUGACAGCAGGUAGGAUUUUGACAUCUCAUUUACUGUCUUAUGGACGAAGGACAUGAACAAGCUCAGAGAGUCCUUCACCUCUGGCUGUGUGAGAAAGACAGAGACAGAAAUCAACGAUGGG
ensembl:lncRNA